AUGGACGCUUUUUAUAUAUACUCGUCACAAGCAAAAUUGUUAAUAGAACGCAUUUUCGACAGUAGUAUUACAAAUGAAACGAUACAAUGCGAUAUAAAAGAUAUAAUAACACAGAAUAAAAAAAUAUAUAAAGACUAUUCCAUAGUUUUAAACAAUGAUAAUUUAAACUUGUUGAUAAAAAAUAAUUUAGAAACGAAUUUUUUAUACAUAAUUAAGGAAGAUGAUAUAUUUUUUAUUAUAUUAAAAAAAGAUGAACAUAAUCCUAUAUUGUUGGUUGAAAUGAUACAAGAAAUGGUUAAGAAUAUAAAAAAAUAUUUUAAUAUAAAAAAAUUGAUUGAAACUAUAUUUAUAAAUAAUUAUUCUGUUUGUAAUUUUUUGAUUGAUGAAAUGUUAGUACAUGGUGGUAGACCUAGUUUAUUUAUUGAUAAUAUAUUAAAACGUUUAAUAAAAAAUGAAUCUUUUUUUUUAAAUGAAACAAUACAAGGUACUCAAAUUACAAAUAAUAUAUAUAAUAUGAUUACACAAAAAACAAAAAAUAAUAUUAAUAAUAAUAAUAAUUUGAUGAUGUCUUCAUAUAAUGAAAAUAAUAUAAAUUUUAGUUUUAGUAAUGGUACAUGUAUUAAUUCAACAGAUUGUAUGUAUAUUUAUUGGAGGUCAAAUAAUAUCUUGUAUUCUACUAAUGAAAUUUAUGUUGAUAUUAUUGAAAAAAUUGAUUUUACAAUAAAUAAAAAUAAUAAAAUUUUAUAUUAUAUGAUCCAAGGAGAUGUUGUUGUUACUUGUUCGGUUGGUGGUUAUCCAUUAAUUAAGUUAAGUUUUAAUGAAAAAAUUGAUUUGGAAAAAUGUCAUUUACAUUUUACGGUUAACUUUUCCAAACUAAGCGAAGCAAAUGGAUUGCAACAGACCAAUUUAAAAAGUGGUGGUAAUGUAAGUGGUGAUAAUGUAAGUGGUGGUAACGUAAGAGGUGGUAAUUUAAGAGGUAGUAAGUUAAGAGGUAGUAAGUUAAGGGGUGGUAAUAUGAAAGACAAUAGUGACGAUAAAGCCAUUUAUUUCGUUCCUUUGGAUGAAACAUACGUAGUUAUGCAGUAUUUCGAGUAUGUUCAUUUAGAAAGUGACAGGGGUAUAGAUACAUAUAAAACUAGUAAAACUAAUACUAGUGAACAUACUAAUAGUGAUAGUGACAUUGAUAGUUAUAGCGAUAGUGAUAGCAAUAGUGAUAGUGAUAAAAUUAAAAAAAAAAAAAAGAAAAAAAAAAAAAGUAAUUAUAAGUCAACAAAGUUGACAAACGUUUUGGAUUUAAACAGUGUAGAAACGUCAAGUUAUAAUAUGUUAAAUGAUGAAUUGGAAAAUAGAGACAACAAUGAUGAUAGUAAUAUUAUAAAUGAUAAAACUAUAAAUGAUAAAACUAUAAGUGGNNNNNNNNNNUGGCAAAACUAUAAAUGA
rnacentral:lncRNA from 1 species